rnacentral:rRNA from 1 species
CUCGGAGUUUGAUCCUGGCUCAGAUUGAACGCUGGCGGCAGGCCUAACACAUGCAAGUCGAGCGGCAGCGGGAAAGUAGCUUGCUACUUUUGCCGGCGAGCGGCGGACGGGUGAGUAAUGCCUGGGAAAUUGCCCAGUCGAGGGGGAUAACAGUUGGAAACGACUGCUAAUACCGCAUACGCCCUACGGGGGAAAGCAGGGGACCUUCGGGCCUUGCGCGAUUGGAUAUGCCCAGGUGGGAUUAGCUAGUAGGUGGGGUAAUGGCUCACCAAGGCGACGAUCCCUAGCUGGUCUGAGAGGAUGAUCAGCCACACUGGAACUGAGACACGGUCCAGACUCCUACGGGAGGCAGCAGUGGGGAAUAUUGCACAAUGGGCGCAAGCCCUGAUGCAGCCAUGCCGCGUGUGUGAAGAA